GGAUGUGAGGGCAAUCUGGUUGCAGCAUCUGUCACCCCACUAAUUGCCAGAGUUGAUUCAGCUGAUCCAGCUUCCUAGACUGGUGUGACCUUCCUCCCUCACUGCUCUGUGUGCAUCCCUCCCAAAGCUGUGUGCUUGGUUGAAGAGGACAACUUUCCCUCACAGAGGAGGAACAUUCUUUGGUCAAGUAUAUGAGUAGCUGUGCUUCCCUCACAGAAUCUUCAAACAAGCUCUUAAGAUUUGGAGAGCAGUAGAGAGGCAGCAGCCAUUUUGUUUUUACACACAAGUCAAAAAGGCACUU
rnacentral:snRNA from 1 species